rnacentral:rRNA from 1 species
GAUGAACGCUGGCGGCGUGCUUAAUACAUGCAAGUCGAACGCUGAAGCGUGGUGCUUGCUCCGCGUGGGUGAGCGGCGAACGGGUGAGUAACACGUGGGUAACCUGCCUUUGAGUCUGGGAUAAGCUUGGGAAACCGGAUCUAAUACCGGAUAAGACAUUUAACCGCAUGGUUGAAUGUUGAAAGGGGUUUUUUCGUUUUGGAAGGGAUUACGGCCUAUUAGCUUGUUGGUUAGGUAAUGGCCUACCAAGCCGAGGAAUCGUAGCCGAACUGAGAGGCUGAUCGGCCACACUGGGACUGAGACACGGCCCAGACGCCUACGGGAGGCAGCAGUAGGCAAUGUUAGGCAAUGGUCGAAAGCCUUACGGAGCAACGCCGAGUGAGUGAUGAAGGCCUUCGGAUAGUAAAACCCUGUUUCUAGUGAAGAACCACUUUCAGAGCAGAAAUGGCGGUAUUGACGGUACCUAAAGAAGAAGCGCCGGCUAACUACGUG